CGGCCGCCAUUCAACGCUCAGCUCAGAACUGGCACGGACUAGGGGAAUCCGACUGUCUAAUUAAAACAAAGCAUUGCGAUGGCCCUCGCGGGUGUUGACACAAUGUGAUUUCUGCCCAGUGCUCUGAAUGUCAACGUGAAGAAAUUCAAGCAAGCGCGGGUAAACGGCGGGAGUAACUAUGACUCUCUUAAGUAACAUCUUAAAAUCCUUUUGGCGUAAUCGCAGAACUGCAAAGAGUCAUAGUAGGGACGAUGACGUGUAACACACAACCUCUCUCGUCCAAGUCACGCACCUACCUCCAAGUGGUGCUCAUGGGUCCCUGUGCUUGCGCAGGGUGGCAAAAUGAUGUUGUGGCGUGUGCGCCCCUAAGGGCUUUUAGCCCAAGUGCCGACGCCUAUGGUGAGUUGUGGGGCCAAGAAAGUGCGCGGCUAUUUGGGGGGCUCUCGGCUGUCAAUCCGUUUGCUCUCCUACACGCAGUCAAAAAUGGAAGUACAAAAGAAUGGAUCCUUACGCCCGGGUUCUCGGAUGGCCCGGGCACUGCGUGCGAGAGAUGCGAAUGAAGACUCCGCCUGUGCGGAGGCGCCGGAGGAAGACGUAGCUGGCUCCGCGCGUUAUAUGUUGAGACCGCGACGUGGUCGUGGGAACACAAUGGCUGAACAGGGCAGCCAGGCUGGGCACGGCAGCCAGAGACCACCUCCACAGGGUCGUAAUAUAGUGGCUGAUCACGGUAGCCAGGCUGAGGGCAGCAGCCAAGAACC
rnacentral:ncRNA from 1 species